UUCGACUGGUCUUAAAAAUUUUACAAAUUUCUCUCAAUUUUUCCUUUCUCCUCUGACACCAACCAUACCGAAGGACGAUUUGGCAACCAAAUCCAUCCACAAAUCGCGACGGCCAGGGGAUGGAGAUGAAAAUCUUUGCUCAGAGAGUUGGAGGCCCUUCAUAUCCAUUCGUAUGUAGAGCCAGAGAGCUGAAUUUUUGCUUGAAAAUCCGGCGUCCCUAUUCCGCAGCGAGAGAGAGAGAUAGACGUAGAUAUUAAUGUUGUUCGGUUUUGAAAACGCUUUUCUCUGCAGAAUUUAUGGUUUCUGGAUCUUCGACUACCUUCGCCGCAUUCUCCCUCAGGAAAAAUGAAGCCCAUCUUCUGUGGAGAUUUUGAGUAUGACGCACAACCAUCUGAUCUGGACCGGCUUUUCAGUAGAAAUGGGAAGGUUGAGAGAGUGGAUAUGAAGUCUGAUCGGCAUUUUCUCAAGAAUCAAACGAGAAAAUUUCAAAGGAGAAAUGCAGUAUCAGUGAGUGAGGGUCAUGAGGAUUGUGAACAUCUAGCAGUUGCUGUUAAGAAACUCUCCCUGAUGUCAACAACUUAAUUGGAUCAUGAUCAGUUAGAUCCAUUUGCCACAUUGUUAUCAAUGUGUGGGCAGUCAUCUCCUUCAACGCUAAAGAAUGCAUUCUCCAAAUAUUGAACUUUUGACAGCUUUAGCUGUCCAAGCAAGGGGGAAAAAAAUGGAGGUUAAUAAGCAAAACAGAAAUUUGCACUGCUUCAUGUGGUAAAACUGAACUUUAUAUUAAUGCCUGGAAAAUUUUCCGUGACUUAAAACUCUUUUGGGCAAUUGUUAGCUUUACUCCACCAGAUGGUUUCUGGUGACUCAGUUGCUGGGAAAUUGAUUCAAGGGAAGAGUUUAUGUAUUGGGUUUCUUUUGGAUACAGUUGUUGGGAAUUUGUUGAUGUGGAUGUACUGUAAAUGCGUGGAAUUUAAUGAUUCCCAGAAUUUGUUUGAUGAAAUGCUGAAGAGAAAUUAAUGUUCUUGGAUGUAAUAAUAGCGGGCUAUGCGACCUCCGCGGGUUGCAGUUUUGAUAAGGAAUUGGGGCAGGUGGUAAAAUAUAUACAGAAUGAUGGGGUGAAACCCGAUGGGUUUACAAUUUCGAGUCUGCUGCCUCUUUGUGGCGAUGAUAGUGGGAGAUGGGAUUAUGGGAGGGAUUGAGGGGAGGGAUUGAGGUUUCUUGCAGGAGAUCCCGCUGUUGAAGGAUUUGAGGGGAGUCAUUUGGUUUUUGUGGUUGCUGGACUAGACCCAUUUGAUGUAAUCACAAAUGCAGUGAAAUGCCAGACAUGUUGAACUGGUUUGGCUGGUGUACAUGGGAUGCUUUCUAUACUGAUGUCACUUCAGAGGGCGUAAAGCAAGGUUUAAAGAGCUUAGAGAAGGGUGGAAUUCCUCCAAAAUUUGUUAUAAUUGAUGAUGGAUGGCAAUCAGUUAGCAUAGAUCCCACUGGCACUGAAUCCAAAGCUGAUAACGCAGCCGACUUUGCAAACAGGUUGACAAAUAUCAAAGAGAACCACAAAUUUCAGAAAGAUGGCACAGAGGUUCACGGAGUAGAGGAUCCAACAUUGGGACUUCGCCACAUUGUUGGUGAAAUAAAGGACAAACAUGCUUUAAAGUACGUUUAUGUGUGGCAUGCAAUAACAGGGUAUUGAGCUGGUGUUAAACCUGGUGUUACCGAAAUGGAACACUAUGAGUCUAAAUUGGCCUACCCUGUUUCAUCUCCCAGGGUUGUAUCAAAUGAGGCAUGCGAAAGUUUAAAAAGCAUUACAUCAAAUGGGCUUGGCCUUGUGAACCCUAAAAAAGUUUUGAAUUUCUAUAAUGAACAACACUCAUAUCUGGCAUCGGCUGGUAUUGAUGGUGUUAAAGUUGAUGUUCAGAACAUCCUUGAAACUC